rnacentral:miRNA from 1 species
UCCAGCUGUUUUGGGACUACAAUUCUCAUCAUCCCUGACCACUGGUCCUGUUAGCUAGGGAUGAUGGGAGUUGUAGUCCCAAAAGAGCUGGA